GCAUGGGGACCUAAAAAGGAUUCGGAGGCUGAAAUUCUGGUCUCUCGAUCGACUGCUGGUCGAGAAAUAUAAAUUUUCAGAAGCUGAUGCUCAAUCUUUUGCUGAGUUUCUCUGUCUCAUUCUCGAUUUCGCACCGGAUAAGCGACCAACUGCUCAACAAUGCCUUCAGCAUCCUUGGCUCAAUCCCAGGAACUUGCCUCAAAGCGAGAUGAAGAAUAAAUCAGAGGUUGAAAAGGUGAAUGUUGGUAUGAGCAACCUCCAGAUUAGAGUGGGAAAGUGAAUAAGAAGACUGGAUAGACGGCACCAUUCGACUGCGGAGCAACACUAUUUUCAGGUUCUUUCCUUUGUCUGACCGUCGACCGUAAUUUUCUUCCCGAUUACAGGUCCAUUUUUUUGUUGUUUUUAAAUGAUUUUAUUUUUUAUUAACUAAUAUAGCAUGUAAAAAUUAGUAUUGUUUUUCCAAGACAUUGACAUAAGUGAG
rnacentral:misc_RNA from 1 species